AGAAUCAACGCUGGCGGCGUGCCUAACACAUGCAAGUCGAACGAGAAAGUGGAGCAAUCCAUGAGUAAAGUGGCGCACGGGUGAGUAACACGUGACUAACCUACCUUUUAGUGGGGGAUAACCUAGGGAAACCUGGGCUAAUACCGCAUAAUACCUACGGGUCAAAGCAGCAAUGCGCUGAAAGAGGGGGUCGCGGUCGAUUAGUUAGUUGGCAGGGUAAUGGCCUACCAAGACUGUGAUCGAUAUCCGGCCUGAGAGGGCGCACGGACACACUGGAACUGAAACACGGUCCAGACUCCUACGGGAGGCAGCAGUGGGGAAUUUUGCGCAAUGGGGGAAACCCUGACGCAGCAACGCCGCGUGGAGGAUGAAGUCCCUUGGGACGUAAACUCCUUUCGAUGGGGAAGAUUAUGACGGUACCCAUAGAAGAAGCCCCGGCUAACUUCGUGCCAGCAGCCGC
rnacentral:rRNA from 1 species